UAUGGGGGGGGCAAGCGUUGUUCGGAAUUACUGCGCGUAAAGGGCUCGUAGGUGGCCAACUAAGUCAUGCGUGAAAUCCCUCGGCUUAACCGGGGAACUGCGUCUGGUACUGGUUGGCUUGAGUUUGGGAGAGGGACGCGGAAUUCCAGGUGUAGCGGUGAAAUGCGUAGAUAUCUGGAGGAACACCGGUGGCGAAGGCGGCGUCCUGGACCAAUACUGACACUGAGGAGCGAAAGCCAGGGGAGCAAACGGG
rnacentral:rRNA from 1 species